AUAAAGCUUAAAGGUUUAGGAAGCCUGUGAAAUUCAGGCACUGUGCCGCAACGGUAAAGUCCGGAACUAACCUUUAA
rfam:Microgenomates (Gottesmanbacteria) bacterium GW2011_GWC2_39_8 TT63_C0025, whole genome shotgun sequence.